AUCAGUUAAUAUUUAAAAUAGGGAAACAAUAGCUACACAUGAUUUAGGCUUUAGGAACUAACUACGAGACAAUGGGAGUUUAUCAAUAAAUAGGAGGUUUA